UACGAAGGGACCUAGCGUUGUUCGGAAUUACUGGGCGUAAAGGGCGCGUAGGCGGUUUUUUAAGUCAGAUGUGAAAGCCCUGGGCUCAACCUAGGAGGUGCAUUUGAUACUGGGAGACUAGAGUACGAGAGGGGAUAGUGGAAUUGCGAGUGUAGAGGUGAAAUUCGUAGAUAUUCGCAGGAACACCAGUGGCGAAGGCGGCUAUCUGGCUCGAUACUGACGCUAAGGCGCGAGAGCGUGGGGAGCAAACAGG
rnacentral:rRNA from 1 species